rnacentral:rRNA from 1 species
AUUGAACGCUGGCGGCAAGCCUAACACAUGCAAGUCGAACGAGUGGCGGACGGGUGAGUAAUGUCUGGGAAACUGCCUGAUGGAGGGGGAUAACUACUGGAAACGGUAGCUAAUACCGCAUACUGCUGGAUGGACCCUCGUGGCAUUAGCUAGUUGGUGCGGUAACGGCUCACCAAGGCCACGAUGCAUAGCCGACCUGCGAGGGUGAUCGGCCACACUGGAACUGAGACACGGCCCAGACUCCUACGGGAGGCAGCAGUGGGGAAUAUUGCACAAUGGGCGCAAGCCUGAUGCAGCCAUGCCGCGUGUAUGAAGAAGGCCUUCGGGUUGUAAAGUACUUUCAGCGGGGAGGCGUUACCCGCAGAAGAAGCACCGGCUAACUCCGUGCCAGCCGCCGCGGUAAUUC